GUGGUACUCCCUCCGUUCGGAAUUACUUGUCGCAGAAAUGAAUGUAUUUAGACGUAUUUUAGUUCUAAAUACAUUCAUUUUCGAAACAAGUAAUUUUGAAAGAAUGGAGUAAUUG
rnacentral:pre_miRNA from 1 species